rnacentral:rRNA from 1 species
CGGACGGGUGAGUAACGCGUGGAAACCUGACCGUAUACUGGGGGAUAACACUUAGAAAUAGGUGCUAAUACCGCAUAAGCGCACAGCUUCGCAUGAAGCGGUGUGAAAAACUCUGGUGGUAUACGAUGGUUCCGCGUCUGAUUAGCUAGUUGGUGGGGUAAUGGCCUACCAAGGCAACGAUCAGUAGCCGGCCUGAGAGGGUGAACGGCCACAUUGGGACUGAGACACGGCCCAAACUCCUACGGGAGGCAGCAG